GAUGAACGCUGGCGGCGUGCUUAACACAUGCAAGUCGAACGAUGAAGCCCAGCUUGCUGGGUGGAUUAGUGGCGAACGGGUGAGUAACACGUGAGUAACCUGCCCUUAACUCUGGGAUAAGCCUGGGAAACUGGGUCUAAUACCGGAUAGGAGCGUCCACCGCAUGGUGGGUGUUGGAAAGAUUUAUCGGUUUUGGGUGGACUCGCGGCCUAUCAGCUUGUUGGUGAGGUAAUGGCUCACCAAGGCGACGACGGGUAGCCGGCCUGAGAGGGUGACCGGCCACACUGGGACUGAGACACGGCCCAGACUCCUACGGGAGGCAGCAGUGGGGAAUAUUGCACAAUGGGCGCAAGCCUGAUGCAGCGACGCCGCGUGAGGGAUGACGGCCUUCGGGUUGUAAACCUCUUUCAGUAGGGAAGAAGCGAAAGUGACGGUACCUGCAGAAGAAGCACCGGCUAACUACGUG
rnacentral:rRNA from 1 species